rnacentral:rRNA from 1 species
AACGAACGCUGGCGGCAGGCCUAACACAUGCAAGUCGAACGGACCCUUCGGGGUUAGUGGCGGACGGGUGAGUAACACGUGGGAACGUGCCUUUAGGUUCGGAAUAGCUCCUGGAAACGGGUGGUAAUGCCGAAUGUGCCCUUCGGGGGAAAGAUUUAUCGCCUUUAGAGCGGCCCGCGUCUGAUUAGCUAGUUGGUGAGGUAAUGGCUCACCAAGGCGACGAUCAGUAGCUGGUCUGAGAGGAUGACCAGCCACAUUGGGACUGAGACACGGCCCAAACUCCUACGGGAGGCAGCAGUGGGGAAUCUUGCGCAAUGGGCGAAAGCCUGACGCAGCCAUGCCGCGUGAAUGAUGAAGGUCUUAGGAUUGUAAAAUUCUUUCACCGGGGACGAUAAUGACGGUACCCGGAGAAGAAGCCCCGACUAACUUCGUGCCAGCAGCCGCCGUAAUAC